AGACGGAGUCUCGCUCUGUCAUCCAGAGCUGGAGUGCAGUGGCGCAAUAUCAAAGUCGCUGCAGCCUCCACCUCCCGGGUUCAAGCAAUUCUCCUGCCUCAGCCUCCCAAGUAGCUGGGAUUACAGGCGUGGGCCACCACAUCUGGCUAAUUUUUGUAUUUUUAGUAGAGAUGGAGUUUCUACUCCAUCAGGCUGGUCUCCAACUUCUGGCCUCAAGUGAUCUGCUGCCUCGGCCUCCCAAAGUGCUGGGAUUACAGACGUGAGUCACUGUGCCUGGCCUGGAUGGAACAUUCUGCUCUUUCUCCAUCUGCUGCCUACCCAUGAUGUCUUGGGACUCCUAGAACCCUAAAGGAAGCCCCUGGACACGCAGGAAGGUGAUCCAGAAUUACUCCCGAACUCUACCAGCUGAAAUCCUCCUCAACUCACAUCAGACAAGACGGCCCUGCCACUUACCUGUCAGAUCACUUUGGGCAGUUUACAGGAGAGAAGAUGCAGCCUGGGAGAGAUGCAGCAGGUGUCUGAGGCCACACAGCAAGUCACCCAGGGCCAGGAUCUGAAGCUGGGUCUCUCCAGCUCCACUGCCUGGGCACUUUCUCCUCCACAGCGACCUUCAGGUCAUCAUGAGGAGCCUUUCGGACUAAAGCUAGAGAGCUGGGAUUCCAACAGUUCAGCAACCCAUGACUUCUCCAUGGCAGCUGCUGCCUGACCACCUAGUGCCUUUCCACUAAGAUUGUUCCUUCCCUCUCCUGAAGAUUAUCCUCCUGCCCCUCUCUCCCAAACAUCUGCGGUGUGCACCUGCUGCCCAAAGUUGAACUUUUUUUUGUUAGAGACAGGGCCUCACUGUGUCAUCCAGGCUGGAGUGCAGUGGCGUGAUCAUAGCUCACUGCAGCCUCCAACUCCUGGGCUCAAGUGACCCUCUCACCUCAGCUUCCUGAGUAGCUGGGACUACAGGCAUGCACCACCACGCCUGGCUAAUUUUUAAAUUUUUUGCAGAGACAGGGUCUAGCUAUGUUGCCCACCCUGGUCUUGAACUCCUGGGCUCAAGCAAUCUGUCUGCCUUGGUCUCCCAGCUCGCUGGGAUUACAGGCAUGAAUCACCAUGCCCGGUCCUCCAAAGUUGAACUUUUGAGACUCAGUUUCCUUCUUGGUAAAUUCAGGCUCCUAGGUGCUACCUCCUCAGAGACAUCCUCCUUGACCACAUCACAUGACCUCUCGCAGAGGCCAGAUUCUUUAAUGUAUUCAUUUGUCUAUUAUCAUGUUUCCCCAGUAGAAGUUGCACAAACGGCAGGGGCUUCAUCUGUUUUGUUUGCCGUUAUGUCCUUAGCACCUAAAAUUGUGCCUGGCACAUAUAGUACUCAGUAUGUAUUUGCUGGGUCAAUGAGUGAGUGAAUUUAUACUAAUAACAGCAGCUACCAUUUCUAGAGUGUUUACCAUAUAUUGGGCACUGUGUCAAUCUUCCCAACAACCCACAGACGAAGAUCAAUUAUUACACCCAUUGUACAGAUCAGGAAACUGAGUCAGGUUAAGAAACUUGCCCUAAAUCCUACAGUCUCACUUAGAACUUCUGACUGCAGUGCUCAUCAGAAUGCAUUGUCAACCCAAAGGUCAUUUCCAGCUCAGGUGGCUUCUAUCAAAAGAGCUCAUCCUGGCCUUUCCAAGAGCCAGACCUCCGACAUCGGUGGAGCCCUGUGCAUAGCUGGCCUCUCCUGGGCGUCUUGUCCCAAGUACAGAGACCUGGAUCCUUUCCCACUCAUGUGCAACAGCCCAAAAUUAAAAACAAAAGCCAUAUUAAAAAACAAAACCAA